AGUGAACGCUGGCGGUAGGCCUAACACAUGCAAGUCGAACGGCAGCACAGUAAUAGCGUGCUCUUACGGGUGGCGAGUGGCGGACGGGUGAGGAAUACAUCGGAACCUACUUUUUCGUGGGGGAUAACGUAGCGAAACUUACGCUAAUACCGCAUACGACCUACGGGUGAAAGCAGGGGAUCUUUGGAUCUUGCGCGAUUGAAUGAGCCGAUGUCGGAUUAGCUAGUUGGCGGGGUAAAGGCCCACCAAGUCGACGAUCCGUAGCUUGUCUGAGAGGCUGAUCAGCCACACUGGAACUGAGACACGGUCCAGACUCCUACGGGAGGCAGCAGUGUGGAAUAUUGGACAAUGGGCGCAAACCUGGUCCAGCCAUCCCACGUGGGUGAAGAAGGCGUUCGGGUUGUAAAGACCUUUUGUUGGGAAAGAAAAGCAGUAGCUUGAUACCCCGCUGUUCUGACGGUACCCAAUGAAUAAGCACCGGCUAACUUCGUG
rnacentral:rRNA from 1 species